rnacentral:rRNA from 1 species
CAGUAGCCGCGGGAAUACGUAGGUGGCAAGCGUUGUCCGGAAUUAUUGGGCGUAAAGCGCGCGCAGGUGGUUUAAUAAGUCUGAUGUGAAAGCCCACGGCUCAACCGUGGAGGGUCAUUGGAAACUGUUAAACUUGAGUGCAGGAGAGAAAAGUGGAAUUCCUAGUGUAGCGGUGAAAUGCGUAGAGAUUAGGAGGAACACCAGUGGCGAAGGCGGCUUUUUGGCCUGUAACUGACACUGAGAGACGAAAGCUAGGGGAGCAAAUGGGAUUAGAUACCCGAGUAGUCCCUGUCUCUUAUAC